rnacentral:lncRNA from 1 species
UCUGCUUCCAGUGCAGACAGAAGACUUCCCAGCACCAGAAAGGCAAGCUGUACUGUCCCAUGCCUUCUGCCUCAAGGGAGCCUGGUGCCAAGCCAAGGUAUCUCCACUCUACCUUCACAAGACUUUAUUCUACAUGCUUUGGUGGCGGAAUAUUUCUGGGAUGCUAUGGCUGGAUUUUCACUCGAUCCCCAAGCUCCUGACCAUUGUGUUUGGGCUACACUUCAUUGGACUGGGCUUGCCAAGGAAACAAAACAAUGCCGUCCAGGGAUCAUGCUCAGGACGGCCCUGAUCCUCUCUGCCCUGUGUGGCCUGGCCGUGGCUUUCCCGGCUCUGCCCUCCGAAUUAACUGCUGACAUACCAGAAUGGAUCUCUGAUCUAGAGCUGACCACUGGCGCAGACUUAACCACAGACCUAGCGGCAGUCACAGAUGGAGUCUCCACCACGGAGCUGGACCCGACUGGGGACACAGAGUCCACCACAGCUGAGUAUCGGGAGAGCACACAGACUGUCGAAUCUGCUACUUUCGAGGAGUCAGCCACCUCCAGCCUUGUGGGAGAAGCUACUGAGACCACAGUUUACUACGACACUUUUCAGACAGAGAGCUUUGUGACUGAUGACCAUGGUUUUAAUUAUUCUGAUGAGCAGGGUGAAGCAACUGGUAAGGACAAAGAUCUUUGCUUUAAUUCUCUAUUCUUGGCCUUUGAGGGGUGUCUAUUCUCGUAAGUCAUUCCUGGACAGACACAAUGGCUCGCUGCCCCAUUUUCUGCCUUUCUUAUGUAGGUACCAUGCUUGCUCAGUUGAGUCCUCUCUUGGGAGGGAGAGAUAAGUGGUGCCAGCACAGGCAGGCCUAUCUGGUUUGAGUGCUGCUCCUGGGAACUUCUGAGUGGAAGUGGAGACAAAACCUUCAACCAAAUAUUUUUCAUGGGGUGCAUUUCAUUCCAUGUCCACUGGCUACAUGUCAGCCCUGGAAGAGUGCCUUGGCGAUUGGGACAAGAAGUGUUUUGGUGCCAUUGACUUCGUUGAGUUCACUUUAAUGAACGCUUUGAAGCUGUUUAACAGAAUGCUAGACGUGUUGUGAGUGUUAUUUAUUUGCAGAUGAAUAAAACCAUUUCUUAUUUGCA